GCUCCCUGAGGUGACACGGCCCUCUGCUUAGCUGCAGUGGUCGUGGUGCCUGUAGUUAACACAGUUUCACUCUUUGGAGCUCAGGCAUUUAGGGAGCUGUGUGAAGCCUUUAAUCCAAGCCAUCUGCAGUCAUCACUGAACACCGCACGAUGGUGUGGCUGCUUCUGCUGCUGUUUCCAGUAGCUGCCAUGCAGACUGGCAUCUGCCUGCCAUAUACUCAGUAGAGUAACCCCAACACUAUUUUGACAUGAAGGUGCCUGGUGCCCUGAAACUCCCUGUGAAUUUGCUGGUGACCUCACUCAUCAACCUUUGGGAUAGCAGUCAGUGUUCGCUCUCUGCUUUUCAAAAAGAGAUACUUGACUAUCUGAGCUUGGCUCACAAGGAGGCUUCCCAGGCAAAAGGAGAAUAUUAUAUGGACUUUUUCAUUGACCUACUUUUUAAGGAAUGUAGAGGAGUGGAAAAUGGAGGUUGUUGAUUCUGCCUUAUGGAUGAAAUAUAGAAAACCUUAAACACAUACUUAAUGUAUAUCUGUGAUUUCAUUUUGAUGAAGAAAGACUCAUUGAUUUGGUAAAGUUACUCAGAAAGUGUUUUAACUUGAAGAUUGGACUGCAUUUAUCAUUGAGGAAAGAGUGAAUUUUCUCAAUAAAUCACUAUUAUAAGUCA
rnacentral:lncRNA from 1 species